GAAUAAACCUCGAGUAUCCUGCCAGAAUGGGGGAAGGAUGUUUGCUCAGCUGCCUAAAUUUGGAAUGGAGAUAUGAGGAUUCCCAUUGCCCAGCAGCUCCCCCAAAGAAGGCAGCAGACCUUCCAGAAUCAUCUAGGACCAGAGCAAUGGACCACAGGCAACAUCUCACCAACACUUCAGCUCACAUUGGUUAGCACUCUGCCUGACAGCCAGGAAGGGAAGGAAGAAUGCAGGUUGCAGAACUUGAGACUGGAAGACUUCAUUUGGGGAAAGACCCCUUUGAGUAAACUUGAAAGGAGAAGAGGAAGGCCACCUACCAAAACGAGCCAGCUUCCCCCUAUCUCACCUGCCAACUUCCCAACAAAGGGGGAGCAAAAUAACACUCAAAUUCUAAGUGCUUUUAGGGGUUUGCAAGCAUCUCAAGUAAAUCAUCCUUCCUUUCUUUUAUGCCCAAUAAAACUAUUUAA